rnacentral:piRNA from 1 species
UAGGGUUGAGGAAGAUGUGGGGA